CUACGGAGGGUGCGAGCGUUAAUCGGAAUUACUGGGCGUAAAGCGUGCGUAGGCGGGGUGCUAAGUCAGAUGUGAAAGCCCCGGGCUUAACCUGGGAACUGCAUUUGAUACUGGCAGACUAGAGUAUGAUAGAGGGGGGUAGAAUUCCUGGUGUAGCGGUGAAAUGCGUAGAUAUCAGGAGGAAUACCAGUGGCGAAGGCGGCCCCCUGGAUCAAUACUGACGCUGAGGUACGAAAGCGUGGGGAGCGAACAGGAUUAGAUACCCCGGUAGUCC
rnacentral:rRNA from 1 species